AAAAAAAAAGUCUAUCAAUCUUACUCGCCCGGAAGAGACGGCCACGAGUUGCUCUGUCCCUCGAGGCUGGACGUGGGUGCCCCUCACCUCACUUCAGCAACCUCAGGUUGCAGCUGUGCGGCCUGAGCUGAUACCCUGGGCUUCCUUUCGCCGAGGAGAAAAACGCAUUUCCAGAGGGCUAUUCCUCUCGCCUAUUGCACCUCCUAUUUUAGCACGGCAUGAAGUGUCUUAAGGAGAUGACUGUCUCUUCGUCGCCUAGAUGUGAAGUUGGAAUGCUCGAUGGAUGGCAGUAGUGCUGCAGGUCUCCCACCAGCCUUCCCCAGACAGAGAUGUGGUUCUGCUCCUGUAAUGCUGGUCCCAGAUGUGGAUUCAAAGCCAAUUCAGCUGCUCUUCUGUGAGUCAGACGAAAGUACUGGGAGGGCGAUGUCUUUUUUGCAAAUUUUGAAGAUCUGCAAUCUGGAUUAAUUUGGAUCAUCCCCCAUCUCAGAAUGUUGUCCUUCAGGGCUCUUAUUUACCUCAAUCACAAUUUUCAAAGUUUAUCUAGAGUCCUGGAUUAACUACCUGGAUGUUAUCUGAACAGGAAUACUUUUAAUGUCUCAGUAAGUGCCUUCUUAUCUAUUUUAGCUCAUCACUUAAAUGGUGUUGCCUUUGAGCUUAUUGAGAACCAAACCAAAUGUACAAGCCUUUAGAGAUCUAAGAUUACCUGAUAAUUAGGAUUAACUGAAAUUACUUACGUAGCCUGGAAGAGGCAACAAGUAUUGCCAUGUAAACUGAAUCCUGUAAAGAUCAAUAGUACUUUAAAAUAGAUCCUGCUCAAUCACAGUACUUAAUAUGAUAUUGACAACAAACCUAUUUUUUCUCCUCCCAUGUUGACCAGUUUCAUUUUUUAAAAUCCUACGUUGGAAAAAAUCCUUCUAAGAUAAGUCAGUUUCUUCUAAAAAGUAAGUAUAAUUUCUUCUAAAUAAGA
rnacentral:lncRNA from 1 species